rnacentral:rRNA from 1 species
GGUUGAAGGUUGGGUAACACUAACUGGAGGACCGAACCGACUAAUGUUGAAAAAUUAGCGGAUGACCUGUGGCUGGGGGUGAAAGGCCAAUCAAACCGGGAGAUAGCUGGUUCUCCCCGAAAGCUAUUUAGGUAGCGCCUCGUGAAUUCAUCUCCGGGGGUAGAGCACUGUUUCGGCUAGGGGGCCAUCCCGGCUUACCAACCCGAUGCAAACUGCGAAUACCGGAGAAUGUUAUCACGGGAGACACACGGCGGGUGCUAACGUCCGUCGUGAAGAGGGAAACAACCCAGACCGCCAGCUAAGGUCCCAAAGUCAUGGUUAAGUGGGAAACGAUGUGGGAAGGCCCAGACAGCCAGGAUGUUGGCUUAGAAGCAGCCAUCAUUUAAAGAAAGCGUAAUAGCUCACUGGUCGAGUCGGCCUGCGCGGAAGAUGUAACGGGGCUAAACCAUGCACCGAAGCUGCGGCAGCGACACUGUGUGUUGUUGGGUAGGGGAGCGUUCUGUAAGCCUGCGAAGGUGGCCUGUGAGGGUUGCUGGAGGUAUCAGAAGUGCGAAUGCUGACAUAAGUAACGAUAAAGCGGGUGAAAAGCCCGCUCGCCGGAAGACCAAGGGUUCCUGUCCAACGUUAAUCGGGGCAGGGUGAGUCGACCCCUAAGGCGAGGCCGAAAGGCGUAGUCGAUGGGAAACGGGUUAAUAUUCCCGUACUUGGUGUUACUGCGAAGGGGGGACGGAGAAGGCUAUGUUGGCCGGGCGACGGUUGUCCCGGUUUAAGCGUGUAGGUGUGUGUUCCAGGUAAAUCCGGUUCACUUUAACACUGAGGCGUGACGACGAGGCACUACGGUGCUGAAGCAACAAAUGCCCUGCUUCCAGGAAAAGCCUCUAAGCAUCAGGUAACAUCAAAUCGUACCCCAAACCGACACAGGUGGUCAGGUAGAGAAUACCAAGGCGCUUGAGAGAACUCGGGUGAAGGAACUAGGCAAAAUGGUGCCGUAACUUCGGGAGAAGGCACGCUGACACGUAGGUGAAGUGAUUUACUCAUGGAGCUGAAGUCAGUCGAAGAUACCAGCUGGCUGCAACUGUUUAUUAAAAACACAGCACUGUGCAAACACGAAAGUGGACGUAUACGGUGUGACGCCUGCCCGGUGCCGGAAGGUUAAUUGAUGGGGUCAGCGCAAGCGAAGCUCCUGAUCGAAGCCCCGGUAAACGGCGGCCGUAACUAUAACGGUCCUAAGGUAGCGAAAUUCCUUGUCGGGUAAGUUCCGACCUGCACGAAUGGCGUAAUGAUGGCCAGGCUGUCUCCACCCGAGACUCAGUGAAAUUGAACUCGCUGUGAAGAUGCAGUGUACCCGCGGCAAGACGGAAAGACCCCGUGAACCUUUACUAUAGCUUGACACUGAACAUUGAGCCUUGAUGUGUAGGAUAGGUGGGAGGCUUUGAAGUGUGGACGCCAGUCUGCAUGGAGCCGACCUUGAAAUACCACCCUUUAAUGUUUGAUGUUCUAACGUGGACCCGUUACCCGGGUUGCGGACAGUGUCUGGUGGGUAGUUUGACUGGGGCGGUCUCCUCCUAAAGAGUAACGGAGGAGCACGAAGGUUGGCUAAUCCUGGUCGGACAUCAGGAGGUUAGUGCAAUGGCAUAAGCCAGCUUGACUGCGAGCGUGACGGCGCGAGCAGGUGCGAAAGCAGGUCAUAGUGAUCCGGUGGUUCUGAAUGGAAGGGCCAUCGCUCAACGGAUAAAAGGUACUCCGGGGAUAACAGGCUGAUACCGCCCAAGAGUUCAUAUCGACGGCGGUGUUUGGCACCUCGAUGUCGGCUCAUCACAUCCUGGGGCUGAAGUAGGUCCCAAGGGUAUGGCUGUUCGCCAUUUAAAGUGGUACGCGAGCUGGGUUUAGAACGUCGUGAGACAGUUCGGUCCCUAUCUGCCGUGGGCGCUGGAGAACUGAGGGGGGCUGCUCCUAGUACGAGAGGACCGGAGUGGACGCAUCACUGGUGUUCGGGUUGUCAUGCCAAUGGCACUGCCCGGUAGCUAAAUGCGGAAGAGAUAAGUGCUGAAAGCAUCUAAGCACGAAACUUGCCCCGAG